UGAUAUAUUUGUUUCUGGUCUCCUGGAAUACUGAAUAACUUAAAUUUAAAUAAAUCUUUAAAAGUUAUUUGGUUUGUUGACAUAUUUCAAAUGUAAAAAAAUGAUAGAUAGAAUAUUAAUAUAAAGGUAUGUAACCGAUAUAGAAGCGGUAGUCGUAUCAAGAGGAUGAAUGUCCUUCUUUUCGAAAUAGAAGAAAUCAAUUUGAUGAAUGCAAUUAUACUAGACAUUUGAUGAUGUAUGACUCGAUGUGUGUAACCGUAGUUAUUAAGCAUAAUUUCGAAUUUUAUACGACAAGUA